UGCGCAGGCGGCCAAGUGUGUGAGGCGUGAAAGCCCGGGGGCUUAACCCCGGAAUUGCACCUCAAACUACAUGGCUAGAGCAUUGGAGAGGGUAGCGGAAUUCACGGUGUAGCAGUGAAAUGCGUAGAUAUCGUGAGGAACACCAGAGGCGAAGGCGGCUACCUGGACAAUUGCUGACGCUCAGGCACGAAAGCGUGGGGAGCAAAAGGGAUUAGAUACCCCUGUAGUCCACGCCCUAAACGGUGCACACUAGGUCUUGGCGGAUUCGACCCCACCAGGGCCCAAGCUAACGCGUUAAGUGUGCCGCCUGAGGACUACGGCCGCAAGGCUAAA
rnacentral:rRNA from 1 species